GACGACGCUGGCGGCGUUGGAUUAGGCAUGCAAGUCGAACGGUAUCAUCCUUUCGGGGGUGAGAGAGUGGCGAACUGGUAGAGUAACACGUAGGUUAUCUACCCUCAAGACGGGGACAACCCAGGGAAACUUGGGCUAAUACCGGAUGUGAGCAACUUUUAGUUGUUUGAAAGGUGGCGUAAGCUGUCGCUUGGGGAUGAGCCUGCGUCCUAUUAGUUAGUUGGUGAGGUAACGGCUCACCUAGGCAAUGAUAGGUAGGCGGCCUUAACGGGUGGUCGCCCACACUGGGAUUGAGAUACGGCCCAGACUCCUACGGGAGGCAGCAGUCGAGAAUAGUCUACAAUGGUCGGAAGACUGAUAGUGCGACGCCGCGUGAACGAUGAAUCCCUUCGGGGUGUAAAGUUCUUUUAUAUGUGAGCAGUGCUUCUUAUAUUAACAGUAUGGGGAGAGAGAUAUUAGCAUAUGAAUAAGCAACGGCUAACUCCGUG
rnacentral:rRNA from 1 species